AGCGAAUUGGCAGAGAGGCCGAUUGCAGGGGAUUGCUAAUCCCUACGGUGUAACAGCCGCACAGGUUCGAAUCCUGUAUUCGCUG
rnacentral:tRNA from 1 species